UACGUAGGGGGCAAGCGUUAUCCGGAUUUACUGGGUGUAAAGGGAGCGUAGACGGCAGGGCAAGUCUGGAGUGAAAGGCAGGGGCCCAACCCCUGGACUGCUCUGGAAACUGUCCGGCUGGAGUGCAGGAGAGGUAAGUGGAAUCCCUAGUGUAGCGGUGAAAUGCGUAGAUAUUAGGAGGAACACCAGUGGCGAAGGCGGCUUACUGGACUGUAACUGACGUUGAGGCUCGAAAGCGUGGGGAGCAAACAGG
rnacentral:rRNA from 1 species